GCCCGCGUGGCGCAAUGGCUUAGCGCGCAGGACUUCUAUCAUCAGAAUAAACUUACGUUUGUUCUAAAAUGUAGAUGUUAUCCUGAGGUUGUGGGUUCGAGUCCCAUCGCGGGUG